rnacentral:rRNA from 1 species
UUUUAUGGAGAGUUUGAUCCUGGCUCAGGAUGAACGCUGGCGGCGUGCCUAAUACAUGCAAGUCGAGCGAACGGACGAGAAGCUUGCUUCUCUGAUGUUAGCGGCGGACGGGGGAGUAACACGUGGAUAACCUACCUAUAAGACUGGGAUAACUUCGGGAAACCGGAGCUAAUACCGGAUAAUAUUUUGAACCGCAUGGUUCAAAAGUGAAAGACGGUCUUGCUGUCACUUAUAGAUGGAUCCGCGCUGCAUUAGCUAGUUGGUAAGGUAACGGCUUACCAAGGCAACGAUGCAUAGCCGACCUGAGAGGGUGAUCGGCCACACUGGAACUGAGACACGGUCCAGACUCCUACGGGAGGCAGCAGUAGGGAAUCUUCCGCAAUGGGCGAAAGCCUGACGGAGCAACGCCGCGUGAGUGAUGAAGGUCUUCGGAUCGUAAAACUCUGUUAUUAGGGAAGAACAUAUGUGUAAGU